rnacentral:rRNA from 1 species
GAUGAACGCUAGCGAUAGGCCUAACACAUGCAAGUCGAGGGGCAUCACAUGAAGUAGCAAUACGGAUGGUGGCGACCGGCGCACGGGUGAGUAACACGUAUGCAACCUGCCUUCAACAAGGGCAUAACCCGUUGAAAGACGGACUAAUUCCCUAUAACACAGGGGUCCCGCAUGGGAAUAUUUGUUAAAGAUUAAUCGGUUGAAGAUGGGCAUGCGUUCCAUUAGCUAGUUGGCGGGGUAACGGCCCACCAAGGCAACGAUGGAUAGGGGAACUGAGAGGUUUAUCCCCCACACUGGUACUGAGACACGGACCAGACUCCUACGGGAGGCAGCAGUGAGGAAUAUUGGUCAAUGGACGCAAGUCUGAACCAGCCACGUCGCGUGAAGGAAGACGGCCCUACGGGUUGUAAACUUCUUUUGUAAGGGAAUAAAGUGGGCCACGUGUGGCUUUUUGCAUGUACCUUACGAAUAAGGAUCGGCUAACUCCGUGCCAGCAGCCGCGGUAAUUCACUA